CCGAAGUUACGCGUGCUAUUGGCGAGAGUAGUACUAGGAUGGGUGACCUCCUGGGAAGUCCUCGUGUUGCACCCCUGGG
rnacentral:rRNA from 1 species